UACAGAGGUCCCAAGCGUUGUUCGGAUUCAUUGGGCGUAAAGGGUGCGUAGGCGGCGCGGUAAGUCGGGUGUGAAAUCUCGGAGCUUAACUCCGAAACUGCAUUCGAUACUGCCGUGCUUGAGGACUGGAGAGGAGACUGGAAUUUACGGUGUAGCGGUGAAAUGCGUAGAUAUCGUAAGGAAGACCAGUGGCGAAGGCGGGUCUCUGGACAGUUCCUGACGCUGAGGCACGAAAGCCAGGGGAGCAAACGGG
rnacentral:rRNA from 1 species